UGACUUCAGGAAGGGAAAGUAGAGUACAAUGUUUCUCUGCUCAUUUCUGCUUUUUACAGCUCUGACAGGUGUCAGCGGGCAGGACAGUAUUACCCCUACAUCAACUGCUGUCACUUAUAAAGUGAAGGAAACGGUUAAACUCUCCUGUGAAUAUAAAUACACAGUGAGUUUAAACAAUCUGCAGUGGUAUCGUCAGAAGAAAGGUGCUAAACCUGAGUUCCUGGUUCUACUGAUGGAAUCAGGCCAGAACCAGACGGCGGAUACUCCUCAUCCUCGAUUAUCUGCUUCAGUUAAUAAGACUGCGAAGCAUGUGUACCUGGAGAUCUUCUCUUCUGAAGUAUCAGAUUCUGCUCUAUACUACUGCGCUCUGCAGCCCACAGUGACAGGAAACCACCAAACACUGUACUAAAACCUGUGGAGACGUGCCUGCAGAUCUACAUCUACAUUAUACACAGCCUGCAGAUGUGAUACACAAUGCAAAAUAAUUAAUGACAUUUUUACAUCUUUACAGAGUCUGAAAGAUAAA